AGUUUUGUCACAUUUUCUUCAUUGUUUUGCCAUUUUAGCCUGAUUUAUUACAUCUCAUAGUAAAUUGAUAAUAUACCUUUAUAGACAUCCUAGUAUAUACAUACGGUUCUAAUUUUUUUGCAUGUCAAUAAAGGGGUGUCUUAUGAAACUGUUUAGUUUCUAUAAAUGUCGUGGCAGAUGUGCUACUCAAAGAUACUUUUAGCCCGGGUGGAAUUCUGGAUACGUUUGAAAACUCUAUAGCCGAAAUGAUUCUGAGAGAAUUUUACAAAUUCAUGUUUGUGUUACUAACAAGCUCAUAAGGUCUCAUUUUAAAUCUGGUGCUUAUUUGGUUGAAAAGGAUACUGGCUGUUGCUUAGCAGAAAUCGUAGAAACCAUGCCAGCAGGUCCUUUUUUGAUCUCACUAGCACAACCAUAAGUGAAGACCUUGAGCAUUGGAGCCAUUUUGUAGGUUACAAUCACCUUCUAAAAUUAUUGUCAUUUUUUGGAGGAUUUUAUUGAAUUUUCUUCUUGUGAGGGCAGAAUUGAGAAGACUUGUGAGGACUUUUUUCCUGUGUGUCAAAGAUGCAGAAACCUUAGACCUUAUUUUUUUCCCUUGUCAUCUAGAGAAAUCUGGUUUGGUUUGAUCUGUCCAUUAGAACUAAUUUCAUUCAGCCUUACUUGAUUCAGGCAUGGAUGAAGAGAAAUCAGGGCAAUUUAGAGAACUUAAAGGUAACUAACGGUUCAAAAAACAAAGAAAAGCCUCAACAACAGCAAGAAAAGCAAAUCCAGACCUUUAGAGAGGGUUCAACUGCAACCAAUCCUGCUGGAGGAGAGCUGCAAGGGUAGGGGAUGGAAAUAGCGGGGAUCCAAUUUCUUUUUUAAAAAUAGAGAAUAUGCAUGUCCAUAGCUGCUUGUGAGGAGUCAAGUGAGUGAUUAGUGACCUGAGAUUUUUUCAUUGGAAGGAAUUUGUGAAGUGACCCAGAAGGUUGAUCAACGCUUUUCUCUCUAUCGCCCAUCUGUGAUUUACCACAAGAGAAGCGCGUUUGGAUCUAUUACUAAAUGACCUUAGCCAUCUGAUGCCUUUAUUCAAUGUUGGGAAAUCAUCAAAGACUUCAUCUUCCCAUGUAAUGCUUGUGAAGAAGAAUUGAUCAUGAGCAGGGCAAAACUGUUCAUGCUCAUUUCACAGGAUAAAACAAACCAGAAGACUUGAUCUCCAUAGGCAAGCAACUGUGCAGACAAGGUUGAAAAAUAGAGAAGCUAUCCUGCUUUGAUUGGACCUGAUUAGAGAGCUGUGCUCUCCAGAAGUAGCUGCUCAAAUUUUAGCUAUCCCAAGCUGUGGAGUUACUGAUAAGCUGCUAUGGCCUCAUACAACACACCAUAGUAUGCACAAGCCUAUGAUGCACAACAUGUUGAUUAGAGUAACUACUGGAGAGUUCCAAGGGGAGUGUGUCCAGUUGUGGAGGGAUGGCAAGUGUUGCUGACAGUUGAGGGGCACUGGCAGAGCAGAUGCAAAUGGGGUUGUUUUGCCUAUGUAGCUAAAUCAUGGGCUGGCAGAUAAUUUUUCAGCCUGUUCCAGUAAUGCCGUAUGCAAAAAAGUGAAAGCUUACUGUUUGAGAAGCAUAUUUUCCAGGUUGUUCUGGUUAGUGGAAGAUUGGAGGACCUGUGGAAAAGAAGAAGGUUCCUUGGCAACUUGGUGCGUUGAUUGAAGAACACAAGUGCAAGGAAGUUGGAGAAUGCCAGUGGUGUACAUUUGCUGUGUACAGGAGUCACUAAUGAGGUCUGCACAAGUCUCUAAUGCACAACAAGCAGAUCAAAGUAACUGCAGGAAAGUACCAAGGCAGGUGUAUCAAGUUGUGGAGGGUUGUAGGUGUUGCUGACAAUUUAGGGACGCUAGCAGAGAUAGUGUGAACGGGGUGGUUUUGGCUUUGUAGCCAAAUCAAGUGCUGGCAGGCUGUUGCAGUUCAUCCAUAUGCAACCAAAUGGCAUGCAGCUAGAUGCCCCUGUUCGGAAAGCAUUAACUAAGGCUAUACAGCUUGGUUUUUGUAGACUUGUUUCCAUCAUUUCUAAGAGUGGAGGAACUCCUUUUGAGAAGAAGGUUUCCUUGGCAACUUGCUAUGCUGAUUGAAGGCCACAAGUGCAUAGAAGUAGGAGAACUUUAGUGGUUGUAUAUUUUGUGCAUAAAAGAGUUGCUACAGAUGUUGGGGUCUUGCUGUUGCUUCAAAGUCUUUUGAACAUUUUUGGACUCUACUACCAGCCAACGCUUCAGACAUUAUUUUGUAUUAUAAACCAUACCCAAAAAGAAAAGAGAAGACAAAAAGAAAGAAGUUAAAUUAACACCUUUUCUGGACUAAAGCUAGUUGCAACUACAUGCAAUCAUUAACAUUGUAAGACAUCAUAUAAGAGAUUCAUGUCUUUGCGUGAAAAUCAUAUUCAUCUCUCCUUUUAGAUUCAAAUAAGAGCAAUUGAAUUAACUAUCUAA